AUUUUGUUUUGAAUUUGCUGUUGUUCAAUUGAUAUCCGUAGGCACAUGUACCUACUGAAAUCUGUUCCAAGUGUUGCUGGUAGUUGCACUUUAUUUAUUUGUGUUUAUAGUGUAGUUGUUUUCUUAUAACUAGUAGGACUAAGAUCUCCUGGUAUAGAAAUUCAUUGCAAAAUAAGACAUGCGUUAACUUCCUUCCCAAAUAAUAUCCAUUUCUCCAUUUUCUCUGUAAUGUAUUGUACAAGUAAACAAUUGGUGCUUGUGCAUCUUGACUAAUAUUAUGCAAUUAUACUUAUUUUCCAACAGACAUAAUUGCAAUCAACAACAACAACAUUAGAGGAGAUGAGGGUGAAAAGGAGAGAUGCAGAACAGUGGAUGUCUCAUAGACUCCUCCCUGACAGCCUUAGAUAGCGAAUUAGACGAUAUGAGCAGUACAAAUGGCAAGAAACCAGAGGUGUUGACGAGUAUAACUUGAUUUGCAAUCUUUCAAAUGAUUUGAGAAGGGACAUUAAGCACCAUCUUUGCUUGGCUUUGCUGAUGAGAGGGCUGCUGUUGCAAUUCAAUAUGGUACUAGAGCAAUUUCUGGUUUCUUUAGCUAUGAUAAUGUCAAAGUUGGCGACAUAAUUGUGAAGAAUCAUGUAUGGCUGAUCCUCAACCCCUUCUAUACUAUUAGACAAGGGUGUAAUCUGCUUGGUUUUUUCACAUUCUAUGCAUUAUUAAGUGAUAGAGUACCCUUUGAUCUCUACCAGGAAUUUAUUGAAGCAAAUAGAGAGCCUAGUGUGACAUUUAGUGGAGUUAACGAGGUUGUUUAGCUAUUGCAGAAUCAGGGACUUCCUUGGUAGGUCCAACGGUGCUCUAACUAUGGUUGCUAGUUUGUUAUUCAAUUCCUUUUGUAGAAUUUAGUGGAGUUAAUGAGGGUAGAAUAAUCAAUGUAAAUUAGAGGUUUAAACAAUUAAUUGUUUGUGGUUUUAAAGCACUUUUAAUUCUUAUUGCUAUGCUAAUACUCUGCAACAAGGUCAAAAUAUUGUCACUAGAAUAUUUGACAGAAAAAUCAUGAUAGGACAUAAAUCCAAAAGGUAAUAUCUAGCUAAAUGCUAGGAUUUUUGACA